CUUUCCCCAGCGCCUGGCCACGCUCCAGCUCCGCGCCUCCCGCUUUCAAGGUCACUUCAGUCUCCCCGAAGCCCGCCCGGCACGGCUCGGAGGCCGCGCACUGCAGCGAACAAACCUCAGCCUGGAGGAUGAGGAUGAGGAGGGACGCAAAAGGCCCACUAGGGAGCUCCAUGGCUGGAUAAAAGAGGAGAAGAACCUAGCACGAAGGCUGGCUCGUGCUCAGCUAGAAUCUCCGCGCCCCUUUGAGCACCACGGUUAGCCAGCGCUAGCAGGAGGCGGCCAGGUGAGCGCAGGGACUCAGCUCUUGUCUCGAAAGUUCUGGGUUCGAGGGGGAAAAUGCCCCAACUCCUCAGCCCCACAGCACCAGAAGAGAAAUGUGUCUGCCUUGCAGUUACAGCGGGAAGGAUGCAUCUGAACCCGCCUGAAACAGAGGCUCCCUAUUCAUGCUCCCCGGAGUUCCUCUCACGCCCCAAAGCUUUGAUGGAGGCCGGUGUGCCCUCCCACACCCGGCUACUGCCGGGGCCGACCUCUGCCUCUUUCUCCACCUCCGGUGCCAGCCGGCAGGAAGGAUCAGGAGUUGAAAACUAGCAGUGAGGGCCCGAGGGACCGCCUUACAGAAUCUGAAACAACUCGCCUGCGAAUCAUGACUUUCCUUCUACAGAACAGCCUUCCGGUGAUUCUCUCCCUUGGAAAACAGCUCUCCUGCACCCUUCCUGGGAGAUAAACGACGCAGCCGGGAUUCGUUCCUCUUCUGUACCCUCAUCCCACUACUGUUGGACAAGAAGCGCUGUCUCUUCGCCGCACGCGACUGGUUCCAGGGCACAGAAACGGCCCGUGGUCAGCGAUGGGCUGCGCCGCGCUGCGACCGCGGGAGUCUUUCUCUCCCUAUCCAGCAUCGGCUCUGCGUUCAAACCCGAGUCGCCCACUUGCUAGCGCGGAAGCCUCAGGCAAAUGAAGUAGCCCCUGUGGGUCUCUCGGCUCUGUCUGUCCACUGGGGUUAUUAAGACAUCUACCCUCGGCGCCUGUGGCUCAAGCGGCUAAGGCGCC